rnacentral:rRNA from 1 species
UACAGAGGUGGCAAGCGUUGUUCGGAAUUACUGGGCGUAAAGGGCGCGUAGGCGGUCCCGUCAGUCCCUUGUGAAAUCCCCCGGCUCAACUGGGGAACUGCAAGGGAUACAGCGGGGCUUGAGUUCGGGAGAGGGAAGCGGAAUUCCGGGUGUAGCGGUGAAAUGCGUAGAUAUCCGGAGGAACACCGGUGGCGAAGGCGGCUUCCUGGACCGAUACUGACGCUGAGGCGCGAAAGCUAGGGGAGCGAACAGG